GUUAUUACAGUGUCUACCACAGUAGAGGAGGUCAGUGUAGUUAUUACCCUGUCUACCACAGUAGAGGAGGUCAGUGUAGUUAUUACCCUGUCUACCACAGUAGGAGAGGAGGUCAGUGUAGUUAUUACCCUGUCUACCACAGUAGGAGAGGAGGUCAGUGUAGUUAUUACAGUGUCUACCACAGUAGGAGAGGAGGUCAGUGUAGUUAUUACCCUGUCUACCACAGUAGAG